rnacentral:pre_miRNA from 1 species
ACAACAUUAGGACUGUUGGUCUACCGAGAAAUUUCCCCCACUCAGUGGAAGAUCUUCCCUUUGUCGU